ensembl:lncRNA
CAGAAUUCAUCAACAGAUGACUGGCAUUCGGUUUUCCUCAUGAGAAAGGUGAGGGAUCAGCCCAGAACUACAUGGCAGGACCUGGUCAAUGAGAUGGGACAACAGUCUCAAAGAAAACCAUUAGUAACACACUACGCCGUCAUGGAUUAAAAUCCUGCAGCGCACGCAAGGUCCCCCUGCUCAAGCCAGCGCAUGUCCAGGCCCGUCUGAAGUUUGCCAAUGACCAUCUGGAUGAUCCAGAGGAGGAAUGGGAGAAGGUCAUGUGAUCUGAUGAGAGAAAAAUAGAGCUUUUUGGUCUAAA